UACGGAGGGUCCAAGUGUUAUCCGGAAUCAUUGGGUUUAAAGGGUCCGUAGGCGGUUUUGUAAGUCAGUGGUGAAAGCCCAUCGCUCAACGGUGGAACGGCCAUUGAUACUGCAAGACUUGAAUUAUUGGGAAGUAACUAGAAUAUGUAGUGUAGCGGUGAAAUGCUUAGAGAUUACAUGGAAUACCAAUUGCGAAGGCAGGUUACUACCAAUAUAUUGACGCUGAUGGACGAAAGCGUGGGGAGCGAACAGG
rnacentral:rRNA from 1 species